rnacentral:rRNA from 1 species
CAGCCGCCACGGGAAUGCGUAGGUGGCAAGCGUUGUCCGGAAUUAUUGGGCGUAAAGGGCUCGCAGGCGGUUUCUUAAGUCUGAUGUGAAGGCCCCCGGCUCAACCGGGGAGGGUCAUUGGAAACUGGGAAACUUGAGUGCAGAAGAGGAGAGUGGAAUUCCAUGUGUAGCGGUGAAAUGCGUAGAGAUGUGGAGGAACACCAGUGGCGAAGGCGACUCUCUGGUCUGUAACUGACGCUGAGGAGCGAAAGCGUGGGGAGCGAACAGGAUUAGAUACCCCAGUAGUCCCUGUCUCUUAUAC